rnacentral:lncRNA from 1 species
CUUUUUAAGAUAAUUGGAUUCCUCUUUUGAGUCAAGGUAGAGCUUAUAUAAAGAGAUGAUGUCUAAGGUUUCUAAGAAGAAUUUUGUGAAACAAAAAAGUCUUUCUCUCCCUUCUCUAUGCCUCCCCUCCUUCCUCUUCUCUUUCACACACCCAAGAGUUGGGCAUCCCAUCUUCCACAUGCCAAGAGUAGAGGUGCUGUCUAUCUUCAGUGAAAAAAGUAGAAAAAAAGCUGC